rnacentral:lncRNA from 10 species
GGAGAGCCUGGACCUGGCAACCAGGAGCGCCGCAGCGCCUGUGACCAUGGGGCCACCAAGACGGCCCGGCGCGGAGCCAGGGAGAGAGCAGACCAACACUAACCCCGUCUGUGCUCUCCCAGGACCUUCUGGAACAGAGCAGGAGGUGAACCUGUUGAGAGGUGAGUGAGCUCAGGAAGAAAAUGGACCGAGAGACAGAGCCAGCCCUGCAGGACACGAUCCUCGGCUCACGCCCAACAGAAGCUCAUGAGUCUCUCCCUGCCACUGUGGUGGUGGCGACCUGCAGCAGCCUUCCCUCCCCCAGGGGGAAGGAGGGACCUUUCUCUCGUCCUAGGGAUGAGACACCUGCCUGGGGCAUGAGGCCCGGCUCCUUCUCCCGCAGCUGCUGCACCAGCUCCAGCAAGAAGGGCACCUCUCGGAAGGCCAGGAAGCCCGACACGUAGGGGGCUGUGAGGCUGACCAUGCGGCUCUCCUCAUACACCACCUGACACCAGGCACGCAGCUCAGUGGGAAGCACAGCCUUCGGCCACCUGCUCCAUCCCCAGUCCGUCCAUGCCCUGCCCCCCUCAUCCUUCCCUCUCCCUUACGUCACCCUCAUGGCUCCCCUUCCCUGCCUCACCUAUGAGAUGAUGGGUUUGGAAGAAGGAACUAGAAGAUGUACCCUGCAAAUUGGUGGUGGGCAGGUACCCCCGGGACCUGGUCCAUAGGAGCAGACCCCCCCAGGACCUGGUCCGUAGCAGCAGCUCCCCCGGGACCUGGUCUGUAGCAACAGCACCCCCACCCCGCCCCCACCGGGACCUGGUCCAUAGCAGCAGCCCCCUGGGACCCGGUCCAUAUGAGAACCCCCACCCCGGACCCGGUCCACUGGAGGAGCCCCAACUCCCAGACCUGAUGUGUAUAGUAGGAGCCCCUGGGACCUGGUCCAUAGGAGGAUUCCCUGGUAUCUGGUCUGUAUGAGGAGCCCCCAGGACCUGGUCCAUAGGAGGAUUCCCCGGGAUCUGGUCUGUAUGAGGAUUCCCCGGGACCCGGUCCAUAGGAAGAUUCCCCGGGAUCUAGUUCAUAGGAUGAGCCCCUGAAGCCUAGACUGUAGAAGGAUUCCCUGGAAUCUAGUCCAUAGGAGGAGCCUCCGGGACCUGGUCCAUAGGAGGAUUCCCUGGGAUCAGGUCCGCGGGAGCCCCCCAGGACCUGGUCUUCAUCAGAAGCAAGGCUAAGGCUGCUGGCUGCAUCACCUCUGCCUGCCCCUUGCUUUCCUGGUGUCUCCUCCUUUGUGUAUUGAAGCCGAUGCCCCACCCCACCCCUCCAUGGGUUGUUGGAGGCUUAAAGAAGACACAGUGUUGGCCAGGCGUGGUGGCUCACGCCUGUAAUCCCAGCACUUUGGGAGGCCGAGGCGGACGAUCACCUGAGGUUGGGAGUUCAAGACCAGCCUGACCAACAUGGAGAAACCCCGUGUUUACUAAAAAUACAAAAUUAUCUGGGCGUGGUGGCGCAUGCCUGUAAUCCCAGCUACUCGGGAGGCUGAGGCAGGAGAACUGCUUGAACCCAGGAGGCAGAGGCUGCAGUUUAGAGCACAACAUGGCAGGCCUGAGUCUCCUAACCUUGUGUUUUCCUUAGUCACACUGCCCUUAAUGUGAAGACGUUUCCCACUAUGUCCACAUUCUGCAGACCUGUCUACCUUCCUGCAGUUUUGUUACUGAAUCCCCCAAAUCUCUUGGUGACAGCUUUCAAAUCACAACUUCCACUCCUCACUUGUGGCUGGAUCAAUAAUUAAACACACCAAAGCAGACGGAGUGCUCUGUAUUAGCACAGAGGGUUGGGGAUCAUUCUCACAACAUCUUCAUCAAUGACUCAAUGGGGAAACUGAUCAAAUCUGCCCAUGACCCAAAGUGGGGAGGGUCCAUUCUGAUAACAGAAUUUGGGUUCACAGAGAAGCCAGCAGGCUGGAUCACUGACAUCCCCACAGAGUAAAAGUCACUUUGCACAGUGACAUGUGGAAUUCAAGUGUGGCCUGAGUUCCCACAGGAGGGGCGUGGCUGCUUACAUCUGAAUCUCUCCCAUAAUGUUAUCAUUCAGGUGACAUUAUGGGAUGACUAUGAUGUGUAAUCAGUAUGAUAAUGACACUGUGGCUGUGGAGGAGAAUGUCAUUCUCAGGACAGGCCUGCUGAUGUCUUCUGAGCUGUCACAGUCGCUGGGAUGUACGGUACACACGCACACAAAGAGCGCAUGUGCGCGAGAGAGAAUAUUCCAGAGCAGCAACAGCUGAACCUAAGUAGAAGGAAUACAGGUGUCCAACGUAUCCUUUUCCAAUUUGGGGGGAUGUAUGUACAUUUUCAAAUUAAAAAUCUGGGAAAAGAAAAAUCACUGUAUGAUUAGCGUAGGGGGCAGGUCUGGAUGACCAGCAAUCUCAACAUAAGCCAGUGACCUGGUGCCCCUCAAAAGCUACCAGUGUUUCCAGCUACACCGACUGAAAUGGCGUGGGUGACAGUUAGGUCUAGGGACUUGGGUAGACCACAUCCAAGUUCCUGCAUUUGAUUCUGAGUGCAGACGGAAAGAUGGAUUGUGUGAACGGAGGGCAUGACCAGAGGGCCACUGACCAGUGAAGAAGCUGGACGUCAUCGCAGCCUCUUGGGACAGUGUGGUCAAGGAGCAGGCAGCUGUUUCCAGCAGCAGAAGGGCUGACAAGCAGAAGGCAGGGAAGAUCCGUUCUGUUUUGCUACCUGAAGGCAGAACUGAUCGAUGGGAGUCACAGACAAGUAGGAGUCAGCUCCCUGCGGAGCAGAACACACUAGCCAUUGCUCAGCGUCCAGCACACAACAGGCUCCACCAGGCCUGUGGAGCAGCACACACCAGCCAUCGCUCAGCAUCUGGCAUGGAAUGGGCUCCGCCAGAGGCCUGCGGAGCAGCACACACCAGCCAUGGCUCAGCAUCUGGCACAGAACGGGCUCCGCCAUCGUUUGUCAGGGAUGCUAAGGACAGUGUUCUUCACGGUGGGAAAAGCAGGCCAGUGGUUCUCCAGCCCAGCUCUGCUUCAGAAUCACAGGAAAGCUUAUUUUAAAAAGCAGAUUCUUAUGCUAUACUCUGGGAGAGUUUUUCCCCCAGUAAGUGGGGUAGGGCUCUGGAAUCUGUUUUUUUUUUUUUUUUUUUGA